rnacentral:rRNA from 1 species
GACGAACGCUGGCGGCGUGCUUAACACAUGCAAGUCGAACGGAAAGGCCCUGCUUUUGUGGGGUGCUCGAGUGGCGAACGGGUGAGUAACACGUGAGUAACCUGCCCUUGACUUUGGGAUAACUUCAGGAAACUGGGGCUAAUACCGGAUAGGAGCUCCUGCUACAUGGUGGGGGUUGGAAAGUUUCGGCGGUUGGGGAUGGACUCGCGGCUUAUCAGCUUGUUGGUGGGGUAGUGGCUUACCAAGGCUUUGACGGGUAGCCGGCCUGAGAGGGUGACCGGGCACAUGGGGACUGAGAUAGGGCCCAGUCUCCUACGGGAGGCAGCAGUGGGGAACAUUGCACAAUGGGCGGAAGCCUGAUGCAGCAACGCCGCGUGCGGGAUGACGGCCUUCGGGUUGUAAACCGCUUUCGCCUGUGACGAAGCGUGAGUGACGGUAAUGGGUAAAGAAGCACCGGCUAACUACGUG